UACGAAGGGGGCUAGCGUUGUUCGGAAUUACUGGGCGUAAAGCGCACGCAGGCGGCUCGAUAAAUUAGAAGUGAAAGCCCCGGGCUUAACCUGGGAAUUGCUUUUAAGACUGUCGGGCUAGAAUCCAGAAGAGGGUAGUGGAAUUCCGAGUGUAGAGGUGAAAUUCGUAGAUAUUCGGAAGAACACCAGUGGCGAAGGCGGCUCUCUGGACCGAUACUGACGCUGAGGCGCGAAAGCGUGGGGAGCAAACAGG
rnacentral:rRNA from 1 species